rnacentral:rRNA from 1 species
UACGGAGGGUGCAAGCGUUAUCCGGAUUCACUGGGUUUAAAGGGUGCGUAGGAGGGCAGGUAAGUCAGUGGUGAAAUCUCCAAGCUUAACUUGGAAACUGCCGUUGAUACUAUCUGUCUUGAAUAUUGUGGAGGUGAGCGGAAUAUGCCAUGUAGCGGUGAAAUGCUUAGAUAUGACAUAGAACACCAAUUGCGAAGGCAGCUCACUACUCAAUCAUUGACUCUGAGGCACGAAAGCGUGGGGAUCAAACAGG